CUGUCCCAUAUAGGCUCAGUCGUGGCCAGGUCAGGUUGAAACCCCUCCCUGGGCCCAUGCACCUUCUAUGAGGGUGGUUUCAGGCAGAAGGGACAAGGUUCAGUGACUAGAGCACCACUGCAUGAAUGGGGACCCUUUGGCCCGUGACGAGUGGCCCAGGGGAGCAAGCUGGGGGAAUGCUUAAUAAAUGACAGUGGACAACCUGAAGUGAGGCGAAUCGUGGAAGAGACAACAAGCAACAAAGAAAGGAAAAGCCAACGUGGUGACCUAUGGGCCUUCAAUUGGAUUAUUUUUGCUCUGGAGUCCAAAUAUCCUUCUAGGUGACCCAGGAAACUCCAGGAAGCGGAAGACAACCUCAGCCCUGGAGGCUUCCCGGACUUCCCAAGCAGCCCGACCCUGCGCCAACCCCUCUUUCUCCAGCAGGACGUUAUGAGGUAUUAUGACAUGAAAUACCCGAAUGUGUGUGGCUCUCCCCAGCCUGCCAAGACACCCCGAGUGGCCCGUCUGCCCAAAAUCACCCAUUCCUGGCCUUCACAUUGCUGCCACCAGGGGCUGGAACAUUUGUGGCCAGGAUGUUUCAACGGGGCCUGCUGAGGACUGGAGACAGGGUGUGAACAAGCCACCUAGAUUUGCUGGGAAAUGCCAGAGAAUGAAUGGAGCUUCCCCCAGCACCAUCUCCGAUGAACCAACACUACCAUGCCACAAGCCCAACUGCCCUCCUACAAAAGCUCGUGAACAGAACCGGUCCCCUCAUGAUGAAGUUUGUUCCCAGACAAAUGAGCCCGUCGCGGUAGCGCAGCGUGGGCGUGGCGCAUACCCACUCCUCCCGGGGGGGUGGGAUCAUCCCGAGAUGGCCCGCUGCCCUGAUGAUCUGAGUUCCACCAACAUCCAAAGCUGAGAGAGUCUAGAAAGAAACCAAACACAAACCCAAAGCAUGGGAGAUCCACGCGGACGCGGCCUCCCCCACAGCACGAUGGGAAAACGGAGAAGUCGGCGAGGACGUUCAGGGCGACUGUGGGGGCUUUGUCCUGGACGCUGAAACACUCCACGAAGAAGUUGAUGACGGAGCGGUCCAGGUGCUGCUGCAGAGGGGCGCUGGUCAGGGUGGCUGGAGACCAGGUCCGCGGCCCUUUCACCAACCCACCAAAUCUGGCCUUUCUCCCCCAGUCCUAUUGCUGCAGUUUGCCUGUGGCCGUCCUCGAUUAAAAGCUGGAAGAAAUCAGGGUGGGGAACGGUGAAUGGGGAUGAAAGGAAGAGUUCACGUGGCUUCAACGGACCCCUGUACAUUUGGAUCCAGGACUUACGGGGAUGUAAUCUACAAACAUCUGAGGACUCAACCAUAACUCCAACCAUAAUUAUAUCCUUAAGGAAACAGCUUUUAAA